rnacentral:rRNA from 1 species
CCUACGGGAGGCAGCAGUAGGGAAUCUUUCACAAUGGGCGAAAGCCUGAUGGAGUAACGCCGCGUGCAGGAUGAAGGCCUUCGGGUUGUAAACUGCUUUUAUAAGCGAGAAAUAUGAUGGUAACUUAUGAAUAAGGAUCGGCUAACUACGUGCCAGCAGCCGCGGUCAUACGUAGGAUCCGAGCAUUAUCCGGAGUGACUGGGUGUAAAGAGUUGCGUAGGUGGCAUAAUAAGUAGCUAGGGAAAUCUGGUGGCUCAACCAUUCAGACUAUUAGCUAAACUGUUCAGCUCGAGACCGUUAGGGGUAACUGGAAGUUCUAGUGUAGGAGUGAAAUCCGUAGAUAUUAGAAGGAACACCAAUAGCGUAGGCAGGUUGCUGGGACGGUUCUGACACUAAGGCACGAAAGCGUAGGGAGCAAACGGGAUUAGAUACCCUAGUAGUC